UAUUUUAUAUUAUGGAUUUUAUGAAAAUUUUAUAAACUUGAACCACAGUUCCUGAUGCAAUAAUACGAAAUCUCAAAGAGCAACUUGCAACAGUUUUUGCCAAUUACUCGUGGGCGUGCGUGAGACGAAGUCUUAAUCAGAGCGGCCUAGAUAGGAAGAAAAAACGAAAGUAAUCAGCAAUGCAAUUGUGAUUCUGUAAUAAUGAUAAUAUGUGAAAAAUUUCUUUUAUACA